rnacentral:lncRNA from 1 species
CAAUUAUUUUUUUAAUUCGUUCAUAGUUUGACAAUUUUUUCAGUAGUGCUAUAAAGGAAAUCGACAUAAGAAGUCCAAUAAAAAAUGAUUCGAUUUGUAACAAGGGCUCUGGUCGUUGAUUCCAUUUGUUCCUAUAUCUUUUUAAUCGCAUGUCUUGCCUGCUACAUGCACUCUUACCUAAGAUUCAACAAAAAAGAUCCAAAUUGGACUUAUAAAUUAGAAUUUGGUUUAUUUGUUCUGUUAAGUGUGUCAGACAUCCUACAAUUUUAUUCUCUUCAUCAUUACUCCAUGGGUUUACGACUAUUCAAAGUUAAUCGUUUCCUGGUCUGGUAUGUUUUUCAAAUGCGAGAGGUUUAUAUUAUUGCCCUUGGAGUGCACAGGGUUCUGCAAAUGGAUUCCGUUUCAACUCCCAAGAUAAGAAAUGUGAUGUUCAUCAUUUUUAUGUCAUGUUGGAAUUUAUACAAUCUACGCUUGAGCUUAUUUUGAGUAUGAGCAUACUCAUUAUACUGUUCCUCAAGCUGAGGAAAUCACUUGAUCGCUCCAUCAUGGAUAGAGCCAUCCUUCUCUAUCUAAUAUUCAACCUUUUAACUAUUUUCCUCAAAAUUGGGUUUGUCAUUUUCUAUA